rnacentral:rRNA from 1 species
CAAUAGCGUAUAUUAAAGUUGUUGCGGUAAAAAAGCUCGUAGUUGGAUUUCUGUUGAGAGCGACCGGUCCAUACCAUGUAUGCGUAUCUGGCUUGCUCUCGGCAUCCUCUCGAUAGACGUUACUGCGCUUGAUUGCGUGGUGCGGAUCUCGGGACUUUUACUUUGAGGAAAUUAGAGUGUUCACGGCAGGCAUUCGCCAGAAUACAUUAGCAUGGAAUAAUACUAUAGGAUCUUGGUUCUAUUUUGUUGGUUUCUAGAAUUGAGAUAAUGAUUAAUAGGGACAAUUGGGGGCAUUCGUAUCAACACGUCAGAGGUGGAAUUCUUGGAUUGUGUUGCGACGAACUACUGCGAAAGCAUUUGCCAAGGAUGUUUUCAUUGA